CGAAAAGCAUCACCCCAGCCCGCAUCGUGGAGAACGCAGAGGUAUACGACUUUCACCUGACACACACCGAAAUCCAGACGCUGGAAGGACUAGACUGCAACACGCGAUUUAUUAAAUGGAACCUGCUGGGGAUGGAGACACACAAACACUUCCCAUUCAGUGACAAGUAACUAUCGCGGCCUAAAGAAAUGGCAAGUCAGUCCUGGAAGAUCCGGUUCCCAGUAAAUCAACUGCAUGUAUUGGCAAGCUUUUGAAAUGAUCCAUAUGAGCCUCUCAAAAUCCUUCUGAAAAUGUCCUAGGCAAGGUAAACUAAAAUCUACUUGCCUACCUGUACAUUGGGGCUAAAACUAAUUACGUUUUAUUUGCCCAUUUUAAAUGACUUGAGAAUGGAGGAGGAGAAUUAUACAAGGGUGAUUUUAAAU